GCAUUUGCGCUCCGCUUCUCCGAUCCCUAUAUCGCUCCCGUCGGGUUCACCCGACUAUGGCGAUAAAUUGCGGCGUAUAAUAGACGCAGCGGACCCGGGGGCAGUACCCGGCGGCUCCACCAUCGCAGCUGACGUAAGGGAUUCGCCAUGGCGAGUUUCGUGCGACCAGCGUCGCUGAUGGGGCCGAACCAGGAUCGACGUGUGUUGAAAAGCGCUGUUUUCGUUCGGAAUGGGACCACCGUGACGGCCCAUAUAUACAAGUGCCAACGAUAACGAGGCUCUUGCGAUUGCCGCGUAAUUUGAACCUCACGGUUUAAAUUACAUCGGACAAAAGCGCGGUUGGGCUGCACCGGGCAACAGAAGCAGACACC
rnacentral:tmRNA from 2 species